GCCGGGUGCGGUGGAGCAUGCCUGUAGUCCCAGCUACUCAGGAGGCUGAGGCUGGAGGAUCGCUUGAGUCCAGGAGUUCUGGGCUGUAGUGCACUAUGCCCAACAGGUGUCUGCACUAAGUUAGGUCCUGGGAAGUGGGCACCACCAGGUUGCCUAAGGAGAGGUGAACCAGCCCAGGUCAGAAACGGAGCAGGUCAAAACUCCCGUGCUGAUCAGUAGUGGGAUUGCGCCUGUGAAUAGCCACUGGACUCCAGCCUGGGCAACAUAGCAAGACCCUGUCUCA
rnacentral:SRP_RNA from 1 species